UUUUAUUUAAAAUCACCUGUAUUUAUUGAAUAGAAGCAGACAGGGCUUAUUAGAACAUUCAAUCAUUAUAAUAACAUUCGUAACAUAAUGGGUCACUAUUACUGGGAUGAAUAACCUAGUCACAACAAUGCAGGCAUGGAUAAUUGAUAAUACAUUAUGUCAGAUCAUGUGAAUGAAAGUUUAUAUGCCCUGAAAAGCAAACUGGGUGACUCAGAAACUGGCCCAACUGAAACAAGACAUUAAUAGCAAAGACCCAUGAGAAGAGCUAAAAUUAUUUCAUGAAACAUGAAAAAACAGAAAUAAAGAAUAUUUUAUAUAUGAUUUUAUGUAUGAAAAUAUGAGUUUACAAUGAAUACCGUAUGUCGGGAAAUCCCUCUUCGUACAUUAGUAUGUUUCUACAGAUUACAUAGUCCAGUCACAGCCUCUGAAGACACCAAUUCUCACUUCACAUUUGCUUCUAUGAGCUUCUUAUUCCCACUCAAUGCCUGACAUGUUUGAGAUAUUUGGCUUCACCCUUCACUCUUCUCUUUUAGCCUUCCCUGUCUUUUACCUGCUUCCUCUUUUGGUGUGGGCUCUUUCUGGGCCUCUGGUGGAGGGGCCUACUGUGCUGGUGGGGCCUCUGGUGGAGGGGCAGCCUCUGGUGGCGGGGCCUGUGGUGGGGCAGCAGCCUCUGGUGCUGGCGCAGCCUCAGGUGCUGGGGCAGCCUCUGGUGGUGGGGCAGCCUCUGGUGGUGGUGCAGCCUCUGGUGGUGGUGCCUCUGCUGCUGGUGGGGCCUCUGCUGCUGGUGGGGCCUCUCCUGGUGGUAGAGUUUCCUCUCCUGGUUGUGGAGCUUCCUCUCCUGGUGGUAGAGUUUCCUCUCCUGGUUGUGGAGCUUCCUCUCCUGGUGGUGGGGCCUCCUCACCUGGUGGUAGGAUUUCUUCUGCUAUUGGGACUAGAUCUGCUGAAGUCAACUCUGAUUCCAGUGUUGUCUCUGUUGAUGACUCCUCUACUUCAGCCACUGCUGUCUGAACUUCAGAGCAGAGGUAGGAUAUUGUAAGUAGAGAGCACAAUAAUAGUACAAGAAACAAAGGGACUAGUAACACUACCAGUUUAUAGUCUACGUCUUGUCUCAGACUUUGACCACGAGCAAUACUUUCACUACCACUUUCACUGUUGUUGGUAACUUGCAUUCCCGGGGGGCCACUGUCCACACUGCCUCCAUUUCCUGGAUUUUUACAGUCAGGAGGAGCAAAACCAGACUCACAAUGGCAGUGCCUUAAAUUGUUGCAAACUCCUUUCCCAUGACACGAUUCCUCCGGUCUGCAGUCAUACAGGAGUAUAGAGUGAUGAACGCAGGAGUAAUCCGUGCAGACUUUGUUUGGGGCACAAGAAGUGCCGACGUGCACGUUGCCAUUAUCAGGGGUAUCAGUAAUGUUAUCGGCAUCCAUGCUCCAGCACCAGUCAUUGUCAUGAGGGACCUGGAUCACUGUAUGUUGAGCUUUGACUCGUGGUAAGGAUUGAACACCUGUACAUAUGAGUUUCCCACAAAAUACAUUAUCAUCUGAACAUGUAACAUAUGUUUGCUGAUCCUCAGUGGGAUGGCCACAGUUUCCAAACCGGUCUCCUCUGGUAUUCAUUGAAAUGUAACAGUCUUCCGGGGCAGAUCUUGCAGGGUACCCAUAUAUAUUCACACAUUGGUUAUCAGGGUUCUUACACUGACCCCCAGAGCAAUAGUGAAUUCUAUCACACAACGUGCCAUCUUGCUUGUAGCUGUCUGCAGGGCAUUCUGCAGAGCUACCGUCACAAUAUUCUGGGAGGUCACACUCAUCCUGAGUAGGACGGCAUAAAAACCCCUUCCUUCUGAAAGUGCAGUCCAGACAGCAGAGGCCAUGGCUGCACUCAGCAUGCUCCUUCAGAGUACAUGUGGGAUCACAGCAUGGGUCGAGGUGACAGGCAGAACCACAGUCACACUCCUCCGUGUCCUCCACCACGCCAUUUCCACAGGCAGAAUCCCUACGCUUGCGGCCCCUGGGCCGUGGCUUGUUAAAUAGGCAGGCCCCUUUGUGUUCUCGAAGGAACUGGUGGAAGUAGUCAGAGCUGCAGUUGCUGAAGCCACUUUCUUUUGUGAUAUUUUCAUGCAUGAGGCAAAAGUGCUUCUCUCUGCAAAAGCAGGCCGAGUGGUCGUGCUGAAUACCCAGGUUGUGCCCGAGCUCAUGGACCAUCAGGGCUGCAAACAACAGCAUAUCUUCAUGAUGGAAGGAUUCAACAGCCGCCGCAAAACCGCUUGAGCAGGCACCACUGAGAAAGGCCUGGCCCGUAUUCUGUCCAGGAUGAUGCCCGACGAUCAUGUGGGCAACAUCGUGCUUCGCACGACGGAAGAGCAUCUCUUGUCUCCAGCGAUUGAAAUUCCUGAGUGUGAUUUGCAAGUCCACUGCGACAUCUAUUAGGUCCCCCUCGGUCCAAAUCUCCAUUCCGGCCAGCACCACCUCUGUGUUUAUUCCCCUAGUGAAGCCGUUGGCC
ensembl:lncRNA